rnacentral:rRNA from 1 species
GCCUACGGCCAUGCUACUCUGGGCACGCCUGAUAUUUGAAGCAGCACUGGGCCUGGUCAGUACCUGCAUGCAAGACUACCUGGCACACCAGAUGCUGUAGGUU